CGAAAUCUCACGCAUCAAUGACGAGAAUCGAACAAAGGAGAAGGACGAGGAAGCAGAGUCGAUCUCUUUGAUUCCAUUAUUGCUCGACCUAAUUGGAUUCCACCGCGCGAUCGCGGGCUGCAACGUCUAUAAACCCGCGGCCGACGAAACCAAUUUGGGCAUUCCUACGGAUACGUAGCCGGGAUCCGUCGUCGAUCUAUAGAUCACUCGCCGCUACCUGUGCCAGUGAUGGCUUGCCCAAAUUUUCGACCAUGCGAUCCCCGAUCGUGCAAAAGCCGCCUUCGGUAUUCGAGAUACGACCGCGGCUUCGGGGGAAACUCAAUUUUCGUGGGAUGAUAUACAGAUUGUUCAGAUUUUUUUGACGACUUUUUUUCGAUAGAUUGACGAAAUCAAAAGUUAUGAUUUGGCGAUUCGUUCUUAACUGAAAUAUCUUCUUGUAUUUUAUGUACAUUUUUGAAGUGAGGUUAAUUCGUAAAUAAAUAUAUAUGUCUUUAAAAUGAAA